CAAAUGAGUUUUGAUUCCCUUCCCUUUAUAAAGUUAAAAUGUUUUUGAGAGAGAAACAGAUCCUCCAGAAUGUGGGUGUCCGAGAUUGUUACCUUGGACUGGCUGUGUUUCUCUCCCUGCUGUCUGUCUGCCUUUCUUUCUGCCUGUCUGUCUUUCCAUUGUAGAGAACAAAGCGGAGUGAUGUAAAAUAGAAAAUGAGAAAUGCAAACCUGUGGUGAUUGAAGAGGAGGAAGGAAAAUGAAAGAGAAAAAGCUGAAGAGUGGGAAAAAGAUAAAAUAAAAUGAAUUUUGGGGAUUCCACUGUGAGUAAGAGCUGAAAAAAAAAUCUGGUGAACUCAAGGGGAACAAGAUUUAAAAGACUGAAUAGGAGGAAUUGAUUCAGAUGAACAGUUCAUCUUAUCACCCUGCCUGCCUCUUCAUGGGCUGGGAGACAGCACGUGUCACCUCCAGCAUCUGCCGUGGGUAUGGUGAUCAGAUAUCCCGACCACGGGAGGAAGUAUUGCUGGGUUUGGAGACAGCUCCGUAUUUGAAGAGUUUUAUCAAGGUUACAUAUAAAUCCGUGAGAUGCCGUUGAUUGAAUGACGGUCCCCAAAUAUUGCAAAGUGGCGCAGUGCUCUUAACGGCACCUAUGGUGAGCUGCACUAGGCCAGAGACAUCCUGGACUGCCCUGCUCUGAACACCAAGUUUGUUAACUGAUAAUCUGCUGUAACCUCCUCUGUCCGGGGUUGAAGAGUUUCUUUGUGGCUGUCUGAAAUGUAUCAUGCUCACCAGUCUAGAGAAGGCUUCUUGGAGGAGCUCACCAGUUCCACCAGCUCCUGUUGCAGGAAUAUCCAUUAAACAAGAGGGAGAAAUGCACAAAGCAAAGGAUGAUACUGAAGCUUCUCUUUUUUUCAUUUGGCUGAAGGCGCAAAACUUCAUCCAUUUUCUUCACUAUGAAGCCCAGCCUCCAGGCAGUGAUGCAGCAGAGAAGAUGAUGUUUGUAUGGUGGUAACCACACAAGGCCUCUAAUGAAAUCAAGAUGGUCUUUGGUACAGGAGUCUUUGCAGUCCCAUCUCUUUGAGGGCAGUCCUACAAAAUGUGGUCUCAUCCCCCAGGAUUCUUUUCUCCCUGCUUCAAGAUAGUGCUUGAAUCUGGUGAAAAAAAGCAAACGUUGUGAGUGCUGGAGGGGCUUGUGCACUACUUCAAAGGCAGAAUGGAAACCAAGAGUGAAGCAACACAGAGAAGGGAGUGGACGGAGGCAGACAGAGAGAGGAGCUGCCGCAGCGGUAACAGUGCAAGCUCAGGCAAGGGAGAGUUUUUCCUGGAUACAGAAAUCUGCAGCUCUCAUGGCAUUUUUAGGUGUGUUGCUGUCAAUCAACUGGUUCAUGCAGAAAGCUCUCCAGAGCGGACCCGAGGCCACAGCACAUCCUUCAGUGCCUGGGCACUUGCACCAUGAAGCCUUUUGUGCUGUUGCUCACGUUGCAGUUUUGCACCGAAGGGUCGCCUCAGCCCGUCUGGUAACAGCACCGCCUGGGACAUAAGUCUCCUGGACACCAGGGGGGACCAGAAAGGAGUUGUUGAAUAAUUAAAGCCACUUUACAUCAAGGGUGAUCCAUAGAGGAAGUCAUUUUGCAUGUGAAAAGCUGCAACGAGUGGAAGACUUUGGGGUAUCGGCAGUCAGCAGUGAACAACUGAGAUUGGUAAUGCUACAGUAAGCCGCCUCCUUUGCGCAGCUCCACAGGAUCAUGGAAGGAGGCCAAUUGCUGGAUUUCUGUACUUUAUCUUGAUUAAACGGCUGUUUCAAUUUGGUAUUCACUCCUUUCAUAUUUGUAAUCACUUUAAGAUUUUCAUUUUAUAGUAUUCACUUAUUUAACUGCUUGUUUCCUGCCAAGUCUAAAAAAAGAAAGGCUUUUCCCUCCCUUCUCCUUUCUGAGCUGCA